UAGUAGCCCCCGCCCCCUUGGAAGACACCGAACCUCAGAUAUGUUUCGAAGUAUGUUUCGAUAUGUUUCCACACGCAUACUACGUGUGGACACCUGUCCGCCACCGUGGGCUCUCGGAGAAAUUACUGCGACGAUACAUCGGCUCAUACGAGAUUGUGCGUCGCCUUAGCGAUGUGAAUUACGAGAUCGUGCCCCUCGCUUGAGCCAAUGACGUCCCCGUUCCGAAGUUAUGCACGUAGUAGGGAUGAAGCCAUACUACGCCCGCCAGCGAAGUGCAUCAUUCAAUCCCUUCGCCGUCCUACGCAGUGUUGUGGUUAUCCUUUGCUUUCUGUGACCACAUUUGCCAUUAGAGCUAUCCUACCAAUUUAUGCGCUUUAUUGUAACCACCCGACCUCGCGACGGGACAGUCGCUUUUGAGAGGGGAGAACACACCUCCGGCCACUAGAACGAGAAUGACGAAGUGCGUAGUGGAAUGCACGCUCUUCGAGUGUCAGCCAUUAUUAAAGGAACACCGUUUUGCCAAGGCCUCGCUCGUUAACUUCGUGACAAUAUCACUGAAAAUCUCUAAAAAUCUACAGAUCAGUAGCCGUGGUACAUCAGUAGCCAGUUACGUCGCCUUCCGCGUCACAUCGCAACGUUUCUUUGGAUUAGUUCAUGGAGGAAAGAAACAAAACUCCAUGGACUAGUUAAAUGAUUAAUGCUCACAAUUAUUUUUCUUGUUGCCACUAUUUCAGAGUACACAUAACGAACCGUGUUUUCGAGUACAUGUUUUGCUAAGCCUAGACAAGUUCGCAUAAUGUUUUUUUUUUUUUUUUUUGCAUACGAAUGCUUAUGACUUGUUAUACAAUUGAACAAAUCAUAUUUCUUGUUUUUCUGAGAUGUUCUGAAAAGAACUGACGCACUGCUAUUAAUAAAAAAUUAUUUCCGUCGACAAAUUUGACACGACAAUUCCAGCAGACACUAGCGCCACGCCAUGCCGCCCUGUGAUGCCACACCGUAAUGCAAGUUGCUUCGCGCGCUUUACAGUAGGUGUUGUGUGGUUUACCUGACCCAUCUGAGCCGCGCUGGACAAGAUGCCCACUCUUCUUAGUAGUUAGAGCGUUUUAUUUACUUUUUUUUAACCACCGCGAGCUAUGACAUCCAGCGUUGUUUGCCUGGGCAUUCUCGAGACCGGUUGGAUGAAGAAACUAACGCUGCAGGCAGGGCGACAUGAAGAGUUGCUGACGGCUCUCUCAUCUCCGGCAACUAUCAACGGCAACACGUGAACGAUGUGCCACUGACGCCUUGUCUACUUGGAGAAGCCGACGUGGGACUGUCUCUACACAGACAGGCAGCGCAUUUUCCAGAUGAAAUCCCUCCUCGGUGGCAUGGCGUGCCUUUUUGCAUCUUUUUGGGUGUUCAGUGUUGAAUAGCCCAAAAAGGCACCCCGAUUGCUCGCAUUUUUCAAGCAUGCCUUUUUGGGUCUUUGCCACACGAAACCACGUGUGAAGGCAUUGGAGCUCAAAAACGUUUUCAGGGGACACGUGGCUCCUGUGGCACAGGAUGUGCAGUGUCGCACGUUGAGGUUUUAUAAAGCUUGGCUGGUUGGUUUGCAUUUAAAAUGGCAAACAGGUACUCACCACAAGACAUGAGACAGGCAUGCAACAUGCAUGUAAAUUACAAGUUAUAUGCCAUUGUAUCUCUGUCUCAAAAAGCCACAAAAGAAAUGGUAGGCACACUUGGCACUACCACCAUGCAUUCAUCCCAUUGGUCACAAUGCCACAGCAAGUAAUUUGGAUUUAUUGUUCUGUAAGGUUAAGAGAAGGGCUGCUGACAGAAAUAUCUGUUGAGCAGUCAAUCUCGAAUGCUACCAUUUCUCUUGUAAAAUUAUCAGGGGCCCUAACAGUGUUUCACACAGGCAAAACAGUACAUUUGCACUGCUGACAAUGCAAGGCAAGCUUGCUGGCUUUGUUACGUUUACUUAGUCUACCACUAAUACAUCUGUCUGACAGGCGGGUGCACUGGCUCCUGCCCUUAGUUGUGUGCUCUUUCUCCAUUCGCUGUUUCUUUAUUGUCCUUACUUGGCUUUGUUCUGUGUGUAAAAGGCAAAGCAUGGUAGUAAAUGCAUACAGUUGUCAGUCAGCACUGUGUUCAUGCUUUUGUUUUGUCUCAUUUGGUAGUACUGUUUCUUUGCUGUAAGGUGACAUGAUUAACAAGCACAAUCAGUACCGAGAUGGUUUACCUUUAACGUGAAAACGGUGCAGUGCAAACCAGGAAAAAGAGAUAGAUACACUGGCUUGAAUGGAGGCACAAAAGACCAGGAGUGCACAUUUUGAGGCACUAGUUCAUGGCAUCGUAGGUCUUGCAGGCCAUGAAAUUAGCUAAUACUUUUCUGCAUGCUCCAUUUAAUGCUCGUAAACUACAAGUGUAGUGCAUGUUCUAAGCGCUAUGUUCACACCAAUGACUGAUGUCAUUUUAAUAUGAUGUCUAACGUGUCUCCUUUCUCUGCUACCACAGUCAACCUUAUGUUUCAUUGCUUAUAUAUCUACCUUUUAUUUACUUAUUUAUUUAUGUGUAAUAUCUGCAGUGCCAUGAUGCUUAUCUUACAGCGACGCUGUUAAGGGGAGUUAGUGUUUGCGGCUAUAUUAAAUGUGAAUGCAACACGUGUUCGGAGCAUCAAAUAUACUUUGAAAUGUAAUGAUCAACGAUCAUGAAAUAAAUGUUACCGUGUAUAUCGAACCCUGCGCAAAUCACCCUCCAACAUCCGUAAGCUAGCUUUCCAAACGUUUGUUCGCCCACAGCUCGAAUUAGCCUCUCCAAUCUGGUCACCUUACCAUAAGAACCUAACCAGCUUAUUAGAGUCUAUCCAAAAUAGGGCCGCAAGGUUUAUCUCAUAACUAUACAUACAAUUACAGUAUUUCACAAAUAAAACUGGAUAUUUCCCUUCCAUCCCUCAGUAUCCGUUGUGACUUCGCUCUCUUAUCUCUGCUUCAUAAGGACGUUCAUGUGGAUAGGAAAUCUUCCUUGCGGCUUGAAUUUGCACCAUGCACAUCACGCAGGCUACAUAUUCACCUCAGCUUCACUCGGAUAUACGGAGACAUUCACGUAUUCAAUUGGCCGGCCCCGUGCCAUUUGAUUAUGGAAUGCCUUUCCUGAUUCCAUAGUCUCCGAAAAAAAUCCUGACAAAUUUCGCCAGCUUCUCAUUUCGCAUUUCAUUGCGUAGUCUCGACAAAAAUGCGUGUCCCCUUCUAAUGUUUCCUCAUGAUAUGCCUUCUGUUAGCUUUUUUGUUUAUGGGAUCACUUUGCUCUUUUUCUUGUAUUACUGUUUCUUUUUUUCUCUAAUUAGAACGUCACCAGCCCAAUAUAUUUUUAUGCAAUACUGAUGUAACCCUUCAGUUUAUUUGUCCAUUGUUAUUUUUUGUUGCUAUUUUUGUAUUAUGUAUACGACAUUGAAUUGCCUAUUCUUAUGUGUACUGUACCUUUUGUUAUAUUUGUGUAAUCAUCCAGUGUACGCAGGAAAUCAUUCAUUAUUAUGCCAAUUAAUCGUGCAUGUAUAUUAUGUACCAAUUAUGCAUGCUGUUUUCCUUUUCUUUGUGAUGCCCCCCUUACCCACUACCUACUAGCCUGAAUGCAGGCCAUCUCUAAGAACAGCCAGCCUUGACAAUGCUCGAGCUCUGCAGCAGUUUCUGUUCAAGCAAGGCUGUUAGCCAGCAACUAGACCCCUAGUUUUUUUAAAGGGUAUGAGAAGUGCCUUAUAACAGCUUUGCUGUCAGAUUGGCAUACAUCUGUGUUAUCUUUUUUUUUUACUUUUUUUUCCCGAGCUGUUAUGGAACAAAGCUUCCAAAAGUUGUCAUCUCAACUAGUCCAGAUGGUCUUUCGUAAUGCAGUCUUCAGCAUUGCCUGUUUUUUGCCUCUUAAUCGUCAAAAGUGGGCUCACAUGGUGGUUCUAGGCUCUAAGCCUUUUCACACCAGCAGCAUUAUCCAGGCGGAAUGUCGGGAAGGCAGUUUGGAUGAUCACUGACAAAAGCUGGUCAUUAUUUUGGUACUUUUGUUUAUUUUUUGCUGACUGUUUUUUUCUUUCAGCAUUAUUGCUGAUCCAUGGGCUGCAAAGUGUAGACUACAGCCUAGAGUCAAUCUGUGGAAGGAAUUGUGAUGGGUUGCUGCCAUUAAUAACACGCGCUUUUACCAACUCUUAAAAUCAAGGUACAAUAAAUGAACACUUUAGCAUCCCUUAUGGCUCUCUUGGCUACUAUGUCUGCCUUUCGGCGGUAGGGGGCAAAAAGCAAAGCUGAACUCUGCUUCAUUUAGUCCACUCUGCCAGCUUCUUACUGUAAAAGUAGCACCGUUUUGCCUCCCAGAACUGUCGUUUUCUUAAACAUUUAUUUUCAAAGUGCAAUUAGUGUGUUGGCAUCUUCCCCAACUUUUGCUGCUUUAGCUCUCGUACACUUGUCAAUAUCACUGAGAAGUGACGUCUGCUUUACUCGUUGCUUUUCCUUUUGCAGUGCCACAAUGUCUAAGUUGGCAAACUCAAAUGUCACAGAAUGCUCUGCUGUAACUGUUACUUCCAAACUAUUUCACAUUGUUUAGGCACUUGUGGCAGGUUUCAAUGUACUUUUGAUGUAUUUUAUAUGGUCUUGUGUGAACCUGCACUUGAAUGAGUUGCUUUCAAUUCAUACUGUGCGUUGUGCAAAUAACAUGGACAAAAAGGAAGAAUCGUAAAAACCAGUUGAGAGCUUGCGCUCGUGUCAUCCAUUUCUUCCUUCUUGCCUGUGUACAAUUUGCACUAGUCCACCCACUGUGUAUUUGCAUAUUCACAACAUUUAUGAUGCGGGUGAUUACAUGGUUAGUGCAAUCUAUGACAAUAGGGUUUUAUAAGUGUGCUUUAGGCCAUCUUAAAAAGUUUUGACAAGACUCCCUGUCACACCAGACUGCAUGGUAGCCCAUGCUGUUAAGGAUGUACGUUUUUGAAUGCCUGAGUUUGAUGGGAUUGCUUUCUUUAGAUGAUGUGAUCAUGUGGAUUCUAAUGGCUUCACAAUGUUCAAUAAAAUUAUUUUCUACAAAGCA